UGAGGAAUAUUGCGCAAUGGACGAAAGUCUGACGCAGCCAUGCCGCGUGAAGGAUGACUGCCCUAUGGGUUGUAAACUUCUUUUAUAUACCAAGAAACCUUGGGACGUGUCCCGAGCUGACGGUAGUAUAUGAAUAAGCACCGGCUAACUCCGUGCCAGCAGCCGCGGUAAUACGGAGGGUGCAAGCGUUAUCCGGAUUUAUUGGGUUUAAAGGGUCCGUAGGUGGACCAUUAAGUCAGAGGUGAAAGCCCGCGGCUCAACCGCGGAAUUGCCUUUGAUACUGGUGGUCUUGAGUGUGCUCGAAGUUGGCGGAAUAUGACAUGUAGCGGUGAAAUGCUUAGAUAUGUCAU
rnacentral:rRNA from 1 species